rnacentral:rRNA from 1 species
CGGAGGAAAAGAAACCAACAGGGAUUACCUCAUUAACGGCGAGUGAAGCGGUAACAGCUCAAAUUUGAAAUCUGGCUCUUUCAGGGUCCGAGUUGUAAUUUGUAGAAGAUGCUUCGAGUGUGGUCCCGGUCUAAGUUCCUUGGAACAGGACGUCAUAGAGGGUGAGAAUCCCGUAUGUGACUGGGUGCCUUCGCUCAUGUGAAGCUCUUUCGACGAGUCGAGUUGUUUGGGAAUGCAGCUCUAAAUGGGUGGUAUAUUUCAUCUAAAGCUAAAUAUUGGCCAGAGACCGAUAGCGCACAAGUAGAGUGAUCGAAAGAUGAAAAGCACUUUGGAAAGAGAGUUAAACAGUACGUGAAAUUGUUGAAAGGGAAGCGCUUGCAACCAGACUUGCCCGCCGUCGAUCAUCCGGGGUUUUCUCCGGUGCACUCGGCGGUGUUCAGGCCAGCAUCGGUUUCGAGGGUGGGAUAAAGGCCUUGGGAAUGUAGCUUCUUUCGGGGAGUGUUAUAGCCCUCGGUGCAAUGCCGCCUCUCGGGACCGAGGACCGCGCUUCGGCUAGGAUGCUGGCGUAAUGGUUGUAAGCGACCCGUCUUGAAACACGGACCAAGGAGUCUAACAUCUAUGCGAGUGUUUGGGUGUCAAACCCAUACGCGUAAUGAAAGUGAACGGAGGUAAGAACCCUUAAGGGCGCAUUAUCGACCGAUCCUGAUGUCUUCGGAUGGAUUUGAGUAAGAGCAUAGCUGUUGGGACCCGAAAGAUGGUGAACUAUGCGUGAAUAGGGUGAAGCCAGAGGAAACUCUGGUGGAGGCUCGCAGCGGUUCUGACGUGCAAAUCGAUCGUCAAAUUUGCGUAUAGGGGCGAAAGACUA